GUUAUACUAGCCCAGCUCUGCCUUUCAGCACCUUGAUAGUCGCAAGUAUCAGUGUGCAUGUUUCAUCUUCUUUAGGGACCUUUACCAACCCGUCGCUUGGGUCAAUGUGUUAAGUUCAGCUCGUGGUGGAAACUCAGGCAGCUUUCUGGUCCCCCCCUCCUCCUCUCCAUCCUUCACCCUCUGGUCAGGGUCGAUCAAUACUUCCCCCGUAGCUUAUCACUAAUGUGCAACUGGCUGUUUGUCCAAACUCUGCUCUGUCUACAUAAAGACUUGGACGGGACGGCUCCUAACCCAAAUGCACCACGUAGUACCCCCCGUGAAUCCAGCAGCUCCACUGGACUUAAAUUUACAAAGAUACAAGGAGCGGAGAGCAGAGGGCGGCAGGAGAGCCUCGGCAGCACAGGCAUGGAUCUGUCUGGAGAGGAGAGGCCAUUCAAACACAAGGGUCUCCUUUCCAUCCCCCCCUCACCCCCACCCCUCUGACCGCUCUCCAUCUGCACACCUGCAGCAAAGCUUGUCCUCCAGAGCUAUGGAGUGUGACAAUGGUGUUUGUUUCCUCUCUAUCAAACGCCAUUAUCACACUAAAUAGCUACAGUGCGGAAAGGACCUCAGUGCCUUCCCUUCACGUUGGGGUUUGUGGAGCUGAUUUAUUGCGUCCUAAAUGUUCUGCAGCCUCUGUGCUUUCCAUUCUUCCAGCUGUGGCGGACGAAGGAACACGCAUGUGUCAGAGGUGGCGACAGCAUGGGCCACGGUACCCCGCAGGAGCGGGGAUGGAGAUAGACUUAAUUUGGGUUGAAACCUUUUAAGUGACCCUGGUUCUUAUUUAUUUAUUUCAUUGUUAUUUUUGUAUGUAAAGCCUGAAUUUUAAUGUUUUUGUUCGGAUUUUUCUUAGGGAUAUAUGUUUUUUUGACAUGUAAGCAGUAUUUAUUUAAUAAUUUAUUCACCGAUUAUGUAAUCGUUUAUAAAUCAAUUAAUUAUUUAAAUAGAUAAUAAAAUCUUUGUUUCAUUUAAUGUUCUAUUUUGCGGUUGUGAUUCCAGAUAAUAAAAUAAAAUGGAUGUUCAAAGCUUUUUUCUGAGCAGCAAGUAAUGCACAAUGUUCACAUUUUCUCAGCUGUAUAAACUCGUUCACAAUGGCGGAAGGUUGUUUAAGCGCAGAUUGACUCUAAUUUAUCCUAAUCAUGCUAUUAUGGCAAAAGCAGACUGAAACAGGGUCAGAAAAGGCAUUCGGGAAGUAUUUGAGAGCAGCAACAGAGUGUUGAAUGCACACGUCUGCAGCUUUGCUCGAGUCAGAAAAGGGUCAAACACAUGCAGAGGCUCCUAAAGCCUACACACCCCAGUUAAAACUAAGGUUAAAAAACAUUUUUAUAAAUUUUCUCACCUUUAAUUGGCAUAUAUCCAGAACAAUUCAACUGAACAACAACCAGUUCAGUAAGUCUGAAAAUUUGCAUGGGAUUUUAAAUGUGAAUUGAAUUAUUUGCAAUAGAACAGGUGUUAAGUUUUAACAAAUACCAUAAACUAUAACAUUUAUAGCCUACGCUAAUUUGCGACGUCUGACCCCUGCUGGGCUUUUGUCUAAAUUCAAAAGAAGUUAUUAAGUAAAUAAAUAAAAACAUGAUGCAAGAUUUGAAACCUAAAUACAAAACCCAAUAGAUGCAUAGAACCUAUUAAAACCCAUCAGAGAAAUAAUGAGUUAUAUUAAAAAUGUAACAUAAAACUUGAAAAAGCCUGGUUGCAUAAGUGUGCACACACAUGAAACACCUUUGGAGAUUUUGACCUGCACAACCUUCAGCGUUACUGUCGGCAUCUUUGCAGCCUUCUGCUCCUAUUUUCAUCCUGUAUCUUUCUACAAAGACACCUUUUUGCUCGCUACUGGGACAACUGACCUUUAUUUUUGUUGUUAAACGGUUGGUGGGAUUAAAUACCUAAAUGGUUCUCCAAAAAAGGAUGAUUUUAUCUUUGGUUUUUCAUUUGAACUGUUCAGGAUACAUGUCACUAUAAACUUGGAAAAUGCUUUAAAAUGAUCCAAUAUGGGCCCAUUUCUUUCAUCACAAAAAUGUGUGUACAGUUUUUAUGUCCCACUAUAAAUAGUAGAAAUACUCAACAGAUAAAUGCUGAUUUUAUAUCAUUUUGUACAGAGCUUUUUUUUUUUUUUACCCCAUACGCUGACAAUCUCAAGCCUACCCAUCUUCUAAAGUCAGACUGACCAUUUCAAACUGAUCUUACAAGUAGAAAGGACUAAACCAAUUUAAGCACAAAUCAUAAACACACACUUCAUAAACCUUAUCAAACGCAUAACGCUCAUGAAACCUAAUAUGUGCGCAGAAGAAGAUUCUUAGUUUUUAGUCCAAGUUUCACUAAAGUAAGAAGUCAAUCAAAUCAGCUUCGCCACUGGACAUGUCAAAGAAAGAAAAAGCUCCCACUCAUACCGUCUGCUAAAAUAAAAAGGUUUUGAAUCCAUAAAUCAAAGUUAGAGGACAAAAUGAAAAAUAUAUAUAUAUAUAUAUAUAAACCGUUUGUAAAGAAAAUAAUCCGAAGCCAGCCAAGCGGUCUAAGACAUGACAGUUUAUCACUAAUUAAGUAUCAUCUAAAUAUAUCACAGGUUUUCAAAGAGUUGAGCGUCCAAAACACUAGGAUACACAUAGAAAGUGUCACAAAAAUAAAUACAAUGGCUCUUCUCAACAGUUCUGAU